rnacentral:lncRNA from 1 species
AAAUUUAGUUGCGGUGUUGCAGUUGUGCGCGAAUCUACACUGGACACGUAGCAGUGAGAAUUUUUCAAAAUGGUUGCCGUAAUAGCGGAGGCACACGCGU